rnacentral:rRNA from 1 species
UACGUAGGGUGCUAGCGUUGUCCGGAAUCAUUGGGCGUAAAGAGCGUGUAGGCGGCCCGGUAAGUCCGCUGUGAAAGCCGGGGGCUCAACCCUCGAAUGCCGGUGGAUACUGUCGGGCUAGAGUGCGGAAGAGGCGAGUGGAAUUCCUGGUGUAGCGGUGAAAUGCGCAGAUAUCAGGAGGAACACCAAUUGCGAAGGCAGCUCGCUGGGACGUAACUGACGCUGAGACGCGAAAGCGUGGGGAGCAAACAGG